UCGAACGAAGUAGCAAUACUUAGUGGCAGACGGGUGAGUAACAUGUAGGUAUCUACCCUUUGGCCUGGAAUAACACGAGGAAACUAGUGCUAAUACCGGAUAAGUCUUUACGGAGAAAGCUUUAUGCACCAUUGGAUGAGCCUGCACUUGAUUAGUUUGUUGGUGGGGUAAUGGCCUACCAAGACUUUGAUCAAUAGCUGAUUUGAGAGGAUGAUCAGCCACAUUGGGACUGAGACACGGCCCAAACUCCUACGGGAGGCAGCAGUGGGGAAUCUUGCACAAUGGAGGAAACUCUGAUGCAGCGAUGCCGCGUGAGUGAAGAAGGCCCUUGGGUUGUAAAGCUCUUUCGUCGGGGAAGAAAAUGACUGUACCCGAAUAAGAAGGCCCGGCUAACUUCGUGCCAGCAGCCGCGGUAAUACGAAGGGACCUAGCGUAGUUCGGAAUUACUGGGCUUAAAGAGUUCGUAGGUGGUUGAAAAAGUUGGUGGUGAAAUCCCAGAGCUUAACUCUGGAACUGCCAUCAAAACUUUUCAGCUAGAGUUUGAUAGAGGAAAGCAGAAUUUCUAGUGUAGAGGUGAAAUUCGUAGAUAUUAGAAAGAAUACCGAUUGCGAAGGCAGCUUUCUGGAUCAUUACUGACACUGAGGAACGAAAGCAUGGGUAGCGAAGAGGAUUAGAUACCCUCGUAGUCCAUGCCGUAAGCGAUGUGUGUUAGACGUUGGAAAUUUAUUUUCAGUGUCGCAGCGAAAGCGAUAAACACACCGCCUGGAGAGUACGACCGCAAGGUUAAAACUCAAAUGAAUUGACGGGGACCCGCACAAGUAGUGGAGCAUGUGGUUUAAUUCGAAGAUACGCGCAGAACCUUACCAACACUUGACAUGUUCGUCGCGACUUUAAGAGAUUAAAGUUUUCGGUUC
rnacentral:rRNA from 1 species